AAUUUCACAUAAAAUGCAUUUAAACAUUCUGAAAGCCAUUGUACCACUAAUUAUAAGAAAAAAUCGUUCUUUAAAGGCAUGGGUCCGUUUAAACUUACGCUAAAUCUUUCUAUGGUCUGAGUCAUUGCUAUGAAACAAGUGACUUUUAAAUUUUCAUUAUACUUAAAAAUUUAACUGUGACUUUUUUAUUUUAGUUGGAUUAAACCACAAAUUAGAAUUAAAUGAUCAUCAAUAUAGCUAAAAACCUUAU
rnacentral:lncRNA from 1 species